rnacentral:misc_RNA from 1 species
AACGCACCUUGCGCCCCUUGGUAUUCCGAGGGGCAUGCCUGUUUGAGUGUCAUUUUAUCAUCAACUCAUUAGUCUUUGAUUAGGCUUUUGGGCUUGGACUUGGGAAUUGCUGGCUUGAUCUUUAUCUAUUGAACAGUAUCUAAUACUUAAUAGAGGGUAAAGUGUAGUCGGCUGUCCUUAAAUGCAUUAGCGAGUGUUAGUCUACAUGGCACGGCCUCUUGACGUGAUAAUGAUCGUCGUGGGCUGGAAGUGUAGUGUCUGGCUUCUAAUCAUUGAUUGCGUGCAUACGGCCGAUAAAGCUGGAAGCGCAACAAAAUAUGCAUACGGCCCUUGAAGCUGGAAGCAUGACAUUUGACCUCAAAUCAGGUAGGACUACCCGCUGAACUUAA